rnacentral:pre_miRNA from 9 species
UCUCGAUAGUGUAAAAGUUAGGUCAUGUUUGUAUGGAGUGGGAUCGUUUGCAUACGUUUGUGGCUAGGGGCGCUGUUCCGACUGCAUACAAAACUGGCUUAACUUUUACGCUAUCGA